UGCGUCUGUAUUUCACCCUCCAAGUACUGUCGCGCCUCAACGAGACAUCGGAGAAAUUACCCCGCAGGAUCAUCGUGGAGCGUGACUCGCGAAAACUCGCCGUCACGUGGUCAACUAUUCUACGAGAGAAUGACGUUUCUUUUCUGACAGGGGGCCGAUCGAGCAGAUGCAAAAAAAAAAAGUACAGUCGGAUGCCAUAGGAUUCCUUUUGUUAUAAGAUAACGUCCAAGUCGUGUCUCGAACGAAUACAAUAAAAUUGAUGAGGCAUGGCUGAUCGUCAAGAUCCUUUUCUCUUUUUUUUUUUUAUGUAAACUAAUUGGCUUAAAUAUAUAUAAAAAAAAGUAGUUUUCUCUUUACUUGUGUCACUUAUAAAUGCCGAACAAACAUUUCAAAGAGCGAUGGAAAAUUGCACAAUUCAAAGAUGUUCGGGUAAUGUUUCUACUGUGAAGAUUCGUGUGCAUCGAUGCUUUUCCUGAGGAAGGAAUCUGCAAUUUGGAAAGCUUUGAGUGACUUUAAACGUUGCGUCUAAAAAGAGUUGAUAUAGUAUUUAAGGGAAAGGUUUUAGGAAAUCUAAAAGUCUGGAUUUCAAAAUUUCGAUAUGGAAUUCGCAAUUCAUACAUGAAAUUGUAAUUUUGCAAUUUGUGCAACAAGUUACGAGAUUCUAUCAUUUUCCGGAAUAGUCUUAGAUCACGGGACAUUUGAAACUAUGGACCUUUGGAUCUAAGAACCAAAGAUUCUCUUCAAGGUGUUUAAUAUAAAAGAAUUUCAGGAGCAUCAGUAUCAAUAUACGAAUACUUGGAAAUGAACGUGACUUUAUUAUAUGAGGAUAUCAUUCAAGGACCUAUGAGAAUCGUCCAACUUAAUAAAAUUAUUUUCAAGACA